GACGAACGCUGGCGGCGUGCUUAACACAUGCAAGUCGAACGGAAAGGCCCUGCUUUUGUGGGGUGCUCGAGUGGCGAACGGGUGAGUAACACGUGAGUAACCUGCCCUUGACUUUGGGAUAACUUCAGGAAACUGGGGCUAAUACCGGAUAGGAGCUCCUGCUGCAUGGUGGGGGUUGGAAAGUUUCGGCGGUUGGGGAUGGACUCGCGGCUUAUCAGCUUGUUGGUGGGGUAGUGGCUUACCAAGGCUUUGAAGGGUAGCCUGCCUGCUAGGGUGACCGGCCACAUUGGGACUGGGAUACGGCCCAGACUCCUACGGGAGGCAGCAGUGCGGAAUAUUGCACAAUGGGCGGAAGCCUGAUGCAGCAACGCCGCGUGCGGGAUGACGGCCUUCGGGUUGUAAACCGCUUUCGCCUGUGACGAAGCGUGAGUGACGGUAAUGGGUAAAGAAGCACCGGCUAACUACGUG
rnacentral:rRNA from 1 species